UGAGGAAUAUUGCACAAUGGGCGCAAGCCUGAUGCAGCGACGCCGCGUGCGGGACGAAGGCCUUCGGGUCGUAAACCGCUUUUCUGGGGGAAGAGCAAGGACGGUACCUCAGGAAUAAGUCUCGGCUAACUACGUGCCAGCAGCCGCGGUAAAACGUAGGAGGCGAGCGUUAUCCGGAUUUACUGGGCGUAAAGCGCACGCAGGCGGCUCUGUUAGUCGGACGUGAAAGCUCUCGGCUUAACCGGGAGAGGCCGUUCGAUACUGCGGGGCUUGAGGUAGGGAGAGGAAUGCGGAAUUCCCGGUGUAGUGGUGGAAUGCGUAGAUAUCGGGAGGAACACCUGUGGCGAAAGCGGCAUUCUGGCCCUCACCUGACGCUGAGGUGCGAAAGCGUGGGUAGCAAACA
rnacentral:rRNA from 1 species